AAAAACCAAGGGAAAAAGACACAGCGCAGAGCAAAAUUUCGGCCAUCGUUUAUCUACUCUGAUCUACUCUUCUUCCGUGAGAAAAAGUAAAUCAUAACAAUGGCGCCGCUUCCUGGACCGUACUCCGGCACAAGCGCCGUCGCGUUGGUCGCUAGGGUUUCAGCUUUCUCAUUCGGGAUUGUUUACGGGAGCGUAAAACUUAGGAUUCUUAAGGCUCAGGCAAAGUCCCAUAAGAAAGCUGAAGCUAAGGGGCAUCACUAGAGGAACAUUCACUCUUUUUAAAUUUUUUUUUUUUUUGGUUGCCGAUGAAAAUAAUUGAUGAGUAUGCUCUGGCCUGAUACGCAGGACCAUAAUUUGUGCUUUUGAGUUGUGACAACUUAAUUACGGGCAAUUGACGUGGGCUUCUUGGUUGAUUUUGUUUCAGUUUUCAGAAUAUAAACCACGAUUAUGAUAUAUGCUCUGCAUUCGAAGCGAUUUGAAACCUAUGGAUGUUCUA